GUCCAUCUCAGAGCACUCGGGGGGUGGGGGGCGGUGAGGAGAGCUCCAUGUGCAAAUGGCGGGUUUUCAGUUCGAUUUCUGUUCGAUGGCCUAGAGGAUGACCUUCACGAAUGUUCUUCCGAACUGCCCACAGUACUUCUUCAUUCCAUGUGGACUCCUUCAAGGACAGUGGAGCAUCACAGCUUCCCUUGAACUUCUCCUGGAAUAUAUAGGUGAACUAUAAAGAAAGCUGAGCACAGAAGAAUGGAUGCUUUUGAACUGUGGUGUUGGAGAAGACUCUUGAGAGUCCCUUGGACUGCAAGGAAAUCCAACCAGUCCAUCCUAAAGGAAAUCCGUUCUGGGUGUUCAUCGGAAGGACUGAUGUUGAAGCUGAAACUCCAAUUUUUGGAGAGCUGACUCAUUUGAAAAGACCCUGAUGUUGGGAAAGAUUGAAGACAGGAGGAGACGGGGACGACAGCGGAUGAGAUGGUUAGAUGGCACCAGCGACCCAAUGGUUACGAGUUUGGGUAAACUCUGGGAGUUGGUGUUGGACAGGGAGGCCUGGCGUGCUGCGGUUCAAUGGGGGUCGCAAAGAGUCAGACACGACCAAGCGAAUGAACAGAACUGAACUGAACUGAAAAACAAAUGCUGUUCAAGGACACUGAAAGAACCCUGAUGUUGAAAAUCAGAUCUGUAUUGUGAGCAAUGCUUAGAAAUCCAUGAGUUGACACAUAGUAUUAAGCCUAUCAUCCUUGUAGUUCCCUCAGUGAAAUAUGUUGCGAAAAGCUCUUCCUUCAUGGUAUAGAUUCAUGAAGAAGCUAAAUAGCAUGAAUCCUUUACGUUGACAACUGUGAAUUUAAAUCUCCUGUGAAUCCUAUGUGACAACCACACAUACCAACAUGAUUUAUUAGUAUUAUAUCAAUAUUUUUAGUCCUACUGUCUUUCAACUAAAAAUGUCACUAUACAAUGGUACAUGAAGUCAAGACACAAAAUCAGGGCAAAUACAAAAUAUUCCAUCCUUUGAGAAAGGGAGCUAAAAAAUAAUGUGCUUUGCCUAUUGCAUUUUUAUGUAUUAGAUCCUUAAGUAUUUUAUUCACCACACCCAACUGAAUGGUUC
ensembl:lncRNA